rnacentral:rRNA from 1 species
GUACCCGCUGAACUUAAGCAUAUCAAUAAGCGGAGGAAAAGAAACCAACAGGGAUUGUCUUAGUAACGGCGAGUGAAGCGACAAAAGCUCAAAUUUGAAAUCUGGCACCUUCGGUGUCCGAGUUGUAAUUUGAAGAAGGUAACUUUGGAGUUGGCUCUUGUCUAUGUUCCUUGGAACAGGACGUCACAGAGGGUGAGAAUCCCGUGCGAUGAGAUGUCCAACUCUAUGUAAAGUGCUUUCGAAGAGUCGAGUUGUUUGGGAAUGCAGCUCUAAGUGGGUGGUAAAUUCCAUCUAAAGCUAAAUAUUGGCGAGAGACCGAUAGCGAACAAGUACAGUGAUGGAAAGAUGAAAAGAACUUUGAAAAGAGAGUGAAAAAGUACGUGAAAUUGUUGAAAGGGAAGGGUUUGAGAUCAGACUUGGUAUUUUGUAUGUCUUGCUUUCGGGUGGGGCCUCUGCAGUUUACUGGGCCAGCAUCGGUUUGGACGGUAGGAUAAUGACAUUGGAA